AUUGAACGCUGGCGGCAGGCCUAACACAUGCAAGUCGAGCGGAUGAAGGGAGCUUGCUCCUGGAUUCAGCGGCGGACGGGUGAGUAAUGCCUAGGAAUCUGCCUGGUAGUGGGGGAUAACGUCCGGAAACGGGCGCUAAUACCGCAUACGUCCUGAGGGAGAAAGUGGGGGAUCUUCGGACCACACGCUAUCAGAUGAGCCUAGGUCGGAUUAGCUAGUUGGUGGGGUAAAGGCCCACCAAGGCGACGAUCCGUAACUGGUCUGAGAGGAUGAUCAGUCACACUGGAACUGAGACACGGUCCAGACUCCUACGGGAGGCAGCAGUGGGGAAUAUUGGACAAUGGGCGAAAGCCUGAUCCAGCCAUGCCGCGUGUGUGAAGAAGGUCUUCGGAUUGUAAAGCACUUUAAGUUGGGAGGAAGGGCAGUAAGUUAAUACCUUGCUGUUUUGACGUUACCAACAGAAUAAGCACCGGCUAACUUCGUG
rnacentral:rRNA from 1 species